CACUACAUCCGAUAUAGUCCACUCAAAACGCCACUCACAACUCUCUCUCCCAAAAAUCCUUCCUCGUUACCGGAGAUUACGAGGAGAAGACGUUACCACCAUCGGCGGCACCGGCGGUGUCAACGCUGGAAAAUCUCCUUAAGGCUAAUGCUCCUCUUGAUAAUCCGCUAGGGUUUCUCAAAAUGGUGUUCGACUUCAUUGGAAGAGAGUCAAAUCUGUUCAUAUGGUGAAAGAUAAGUUGAAUACUAAUCGAAGAGCCCUCGUCUUUGUUGUUCACCUUAUUAAUUUCUCCCUUCCUUGAAGUUUCGCACGAUUUUCGCCUUUGAAGCAGAAUAGUAGCAGGUUUCGCCGUCUUCUUGCCAAGGUAUAUCUUUCUUAAUUUAGUAGACACUGAAGUAUGGACUAAUGCAUCAGUCCAAAAACCGUUAAAAUGACUAGCUUCAAAUGGAGAAUAGAUCGAUAGAGUUCCGUAGUCUCACUUUAAGGAUCUUCUUGAAUAUUGGAACUCCUAUCCUGCCAAGGUGGAGUAGAUGAAGAAAUGGAAGACGGGGGCAGUGAAGAUCUCGACCUUACUUAAGUGAAGUUUGAAUUGUUGUAGAUGCAUGUAGCCUAGGAAUGUUUGUUAUCAACAUUUUAAAACUUUUAACGCUUGAAAUAUAAAAUGUAUGUACUUGGUAACAUUUUAUCACGUUUAUGGAUAUUGCUAGUUUGUUGGACAA